CUGAGCCACAGUGUCAAGGCGCGCGCAGUAGGAGGAGGAAGAGAAAACAGUGGAAGAGAAGGAGGAAGAAGAGAAGGAGGUGGAAGACGAGAGGAAGAAAAUAUAAGAAGUGAAGUGAAGACAAAUAAGUGGAAGAGGUGGAAGGGAAAACAGUGAAAGAGGAGAAGGAAAGAAGAGGAGGUGGAAGACAAGAGGAAGAAAAUGGUAAAGGAAUAGGAUAAAGAAAGUGGAAGAGAGAGGAAUAGAAGGAAGUGGAAGAAGAAAGUGAAGAAAAUAGAAGGAAAGAAGAAGAGGAGGUGGAAGACAAGAGGAAGAAAAUGGUAAAGGAAUAGGAUAAAGAAAGUGGAAGAGAAAGGAAUAGAAGGAGAAAGUGAAGAAAAUAGAAGGAAAGAAGAGAAGAAACGAAGACAAAUAAGUGAAGAAAGAGGAUAAAGUGAAAGAGGAACAAAAAUUAGAACUAUAAAGGAUAAAGAGGAAAAGGAAGAGGAAGAAAAAAAUUAAAGAGAGAAAAAGGAAGAGAAGAGAAAGAGGAAGAGGAAGACGACGAAGGAGGGGGAGGAGGAGGAGGAGGAGGAGGUGAAUGAGAACGAGUGUGUAACCAACCAUCACCACCAUUACCUCCACGGUCAUCACCAUCACCACCAACACCACCACCAUGGAGGAGAUGCAACACCCACCAACGCAACCGAAGAAAAACUGGUGUUGCAUCCUAAGCACGGCCGUGAUGUCGGGAGGCUUGUGUUUCUUCGGCAUUUCCAUAGUGUUUCGCGGAGACGGCAGGACUGGGAUGGUUUUGCUUAUGAGUAGCGGCGCUUUGUUGGCCCUGUCGGUCUGUGCCGCCCUGGGGAAGUGUCGCCCCGAGGAAGAGGAGGACAAGCCAGGGUCCCCGCCCCCCGAGGAGUCCGAGGAUCGCCCCCCAUCCUACAGGCUGUCCUGGCGGAGAUCCUUCAUGAGGCGGC